GUGCGCAGUUCUCAAGUCUUAACAUUAAUUGAACAUAUUUCUAUAUGUUUAACGCCUUUUUUGUUCAAUUUAUAACCCGAUGGAAAAGUACAAAGAACCGGGUGUCUUGUUCCUGCCACAGACAUCUUUAGUGCCAACGACAGUCAUAAUAGAGAAGCGAUUUGUUGUAGAAAAUAUAUAAAAAUGAACACAAUGUAUCUUUAUAGUGAAUAUAAGUCAAUAAAACAAUAAAUGCCUGACUAUGUA